rnacentral:rRNA from 1 species
UACGUAGGGUGCAAGCGUUAAUCGGAAUUACUGGGCGUAAAGCGUGCGCAGGCGGUUAUGUAAGACAGAUGUGAAAUGCCCGGGCUUAACCUGGGAACUGCAUUUGUGACUGCAUGGCUAGAGUUUGGCAGAGGGGGGUAGAAUUCCACGUGUAGCAGUGAGAUGCGUAGAUAUGUGGAGGAACACCGAUGGCGAAGGCAGCCCCCUGGGUCAAGACUGACGCUCAUGCACGAAAGCGUGGGGAGCAAACAGG